UACGAAGGGGGCUAGCGUUGUUCGGAAUUACUGGGCGUAAAGCGCGUGUAGGCGGCCCUGCAAGUCGGGGGUGAAAGCCUGUGGCUCAACCACAGAAUUGCCUUCGAUACUGCAAGGCUUGAGACCGGAAGAGGUCAGUGGAACUGCGAGUGUAGAGGUGAAAUUCGUAGAUAUUCGCAAGAACACCAGUGGCGAAGGCGGCUGACUGGUCCGGAUCUGACGCUGAGGCGCGAAAGCGUGGGGAGCAAACAGG
rnacentral:rRNA from 1 species